rnacentral:rRNA from 1 species
AUGUGUGACCAGGCCAAGGAGACCAUACAGCGCAUCAUCAUUGGCUGCCCUUUCUCCCAACAAAUUUGGCAUGACGUUCUUGCUUGGGCCCAUGCUACUUCACCCCCCCCCUUCUGGCACGAAGCCUUUCUUCCCUGGUGCUCGGCCACAAUCAGGAUAUCCCCUACCGGCCACCGCAAGGGCCUAGCCACGCUGGUGGUGCUCACGGCAUGGUCUAUUUGGCGUUACCGCAACAGCUGUGUCUUCGAUGGCGAGAACCCCUCCCCCUCGCAACUCUUCUCAUCGAUCCAGGAAGAGGCCCACACCUGGGCUCGGGCAGGAGCGCGUGGUCUUGGCGCUUUGAUAGCAUAG